rnacentral:rRNA from 1 species
UACGUAGGGGGCGAGCGUUGUCCGGAUUUAUUGGGCGUAAAGGGCGUGUAGGCGGUUUGGUAAGUCGGGGGUGAAAACCCAGAGCUCAACUCUGGGAGUGCCUCUGAAACUGCGAGACUUGAGUGCUCUAGAGGGUAGUGGAAUUGCCGGUGUAGCAGUGAAAUGCGUAGAGAUCGGCAGGAACACCAGUGGCGAAGGCGACUGCCUGGGGAGUAACUGACGCUGAGGCGCGAAAGCUGGGGGAGCAAACGGG